rnacentral:rRNA from 1 species
UACGUAGGGACCAAGCGUUGUUCGGAUUUACUGGGCGUAAAGGGCGCGUAGGCGGCGUGGUAAGUCACUUGUGAAAUCUCUGAGCUUAACUCAGAACGGCCAAGUGAUACUGCUGUGCUAGAGUGCAGAAGGGGCAAUCGGAAUUCUUGGUGUAGCGGUGAAAUGCGUAGAUAUCAAGAGGAACACCUGAGGUGAAGACGGGUUGCUGGGCUGACACUGACGCUGAGGCGCGAAAGCCAGGGGAGCAAAUGGG